rnacentral:rRNA from 1 species
CCUGCCUGUAAGACUGGGAUAACUCCGGGAAACCGGAGCUAAUACCGGAUAGUUCCUUGAACCGCAUGGUUCAAGGAUGAAAGACGGUUUCGGCUGUCACUUACAGAUGGACCCGCGGCGCAUUAGCUAGUUGGUGAGGUAACGGCUCACCAAGGCGACGAUGCGUAGCCGACCUGAGAGGGUGAUCGGCCACACUGGGACUGAGACACGGCCCAGACUCCUACGGGAGGCAGCAGUAGGGAAUCUUCCGCAAUGGACGAAAGUCUGACGGAGCAACGCCGCGUGAGUGAUGAAGGUUUUCGGAUCGUAAAGCUCUGUUGUUAGGGAAGAACAAGUGCAAGAGUAACUGCUUGCACCAUGACGGUACCUAACCAGAAAGCCACGGCUAACUACGUGCCAGCAGCCGCGGUA